rnacentral:rRNA from 1 species
AUGUCGAGCGCGGUGGUGAACGGGCUGGCCGGCGCCGGCGGCGGCAUCAUCGCCCAGAUCAUCACAUACCCCCUCCAGACCGUGAACACCCGGCAGCAGACAGAGAGGUCAGCGAAGAAGAAGAAGGCCGGUGGCGGUGGCUCCGACGCUUCCACCCUCUUCCAGAUGCUCCAGCUGGUCCAAACGGAAGGCUGGGGUGGGUUGUACAGCGGCCUCAAACCCUCACUUAUUGGCACCGCUGCCUCGCAGGGAAUCUAUUACUACUUCUACCAGCUUCUCAAGAACAAGGUGGAAGAUGUGGCAGCUGCUCGUGGGAAAAAGGGCCUAGGGGAUGGCACUGUUGGGAUGUUUUCUUGGCUUGUUAUUGCAGCUGUUGCUGGGUCAAUCAAUGUUCUUCUUACAAUUCCAAUAUGGGUUCUUGUCACACGUAUGCAGACACAUACACAGGCAGAAAGGAAGGUGAUAGAGUCCAAGAGGGAGCUUUUGCUUAAGGAAAUAUCCAGGGCCAAUCCAAUGGAUGCUCAUAUUCUUAAGGAUAGAUUAGCUAAGCUUGAUUCUGAAAAACCUCGCCCAUAUGGCACACUUCAAGCAAUCCGGGAGGUCUAUCGUGAAUCAGGCAUAAGUGGAUUCUGGAAAGGGCUUAUUCCGACACUAAUUAUGGUAUGCAAUCCAUCAAUUCAGUUUAUGAUAUAUGAAACACUGUCAAAGCAUCUCAAGUCAAAGCGGUCUGGAAAGCGAUUCCCCAAGAAGAAUAUCACUGCUAUGGAGGUAUUCUUAAUAGGUGCAAUGGCAAAGCUGGGAGCUACUCUUGUGACCUACCCGUUGUUAGUGGUCAAGUCUAGGUUGCAGGCAAAACAGGAAAUUGGCAGGAACGCGGCGUCCAGAUAUACAGGUACAUUAGAUGCAAUAUUGAAGAUGAUUCGCUACGAGGGAUUGCAUGGAUUUUACAAAGGAAUGGGUACAAAGAUUGUACAGAGUGUUCUUGCCGCCUCGGUCCUUUUUAUGGUGAAGGAGGAGCUGGUUAAGUUUGUAGUUCUUUUAGUUGCCAGGAGCAGGACUCUGCUUCUUACUAGAUCUAACAAACUAUAG